rnacentral:sRNA from 1 species
GCUGGGUGUGGUGGCACAUGCCUGUAAUCCCAGCAGCUUCGGAGGCUGAGACAGGAGGAUCACGAGUUCAAAGCCAGCCUCUGCAACAGCAAGGCACUAAACAACUCAAGACCCUGACUCUA